UUGUUUACAAUGUCAAUUAAAAUAUAUUUGUUUUGCCUCACACUAAAUAUAGUUCAUUUAUCUUUUGUACUGUGCAAUAAUUUCAGCUCUUGCAAUGCUUCAUAAAACCUGGUAUUUAGGAUAACAUGCAAAAUGCACACAAUUGAAAUGUUUUUAUGCAAUGACGAUGAUGUGACGAGGAAGGGUGUUGUUUUGGUCGACAGAGAAAACCUAUAUAUGCUUUCACUUUCCGUUCAGCUGUAGACUGCAGCUGCAAUUGCUGCGAGUUCUUCGCUGAGCAAAAUAUCUGAACAAUACUGAAUACAUUGGCAGUUCGUUUUUGGGACAAAAUUGGAGCUAAAGCUUCGAAAGGUAAUACGGGAGCACACCUGGAAUUUCACCAUCAGCUGUAAGACAUACCUUUCCUUAUGUAAGAUCGGACUGUGGGCUAAAUUACAUGCCACUCUUCGUGUCCAGUCAUGAACGAACCCUGUGCUACAAUGGAUUUCACUUCUGAGGAGAUGUUGUGGUUGGAAAACAUUUCAUCGGAGGUGUGUGAAAAUAGUGAGCUGUCUCCAAUGGAGAAGGUCCUCAGUGACAUGGCCAGGCCAAAGAAUGAUCUGGAGGGGAUGCUGUUUGAGCUAGCAGCUUACAUCAGGUUUGGAUUGACCGAGCCACCCAUCUACCCGCAAUUUGAUCCUCAACUGUCUUCUAGCAGUACCCCCUCAUUGUCCCUGUGUGGGUGGGAAUGGCAUGAACUGGAGACAAAUUUGGAAUAAAUGGAGCCUGUGAAGGAGCACUGGGUACAAACCAAAAUUUUCCUUUUUUUAAAAUGGAUACUUCCGGUCUUCCUUGCUGACUGGACGAUGAGCACUCCAACUGCUGUAUUCCUGAUAACUAUAUUUCUGUGAAACCUUGGUUCUCCUGUUCAGGAUAUCAUGGAUAUUGUAUCAAUCAAUCAAUCGAUCGACCAGUCAGUCAGUCAAUCAGUCAGUUCCCAGUAAAUAUACUCAUCAAAUAUCAGAUUAGUAUGGUUUGAUAUACAGGUAAAAUUUAGCUGCAGGUGGAAGAAAAGCAUCAGUGAGUAGACACACUGUCACAUCGGCACUGGUGAAAUCGGAGAGGCUACUGGCUACUACCAGCUACUGGAGAGAAAAUAGAAAAGUACUGUCAAGGGGAAAAUACUUUUAAUUGCUAUUGGUGAAGUGCCAUGCAAGUGGACAUGAAUUAUAUGAACUUGUGGCUAUCUGCUUUAAGUGCUUAUUUAAAUGUUCUGUUGGGAUCAAUUUGGGAGUUGGUCAGCGUGGUCAGUGCUACAUCAGGAACGGACUGCGCUGAGGCCAAACCCCAUGGGCUAUCGUUCAGUCGUGCUAAACAGGCUUUAGAAGUAUUGGGGUCCCAGUCUGAGGUGAAAACACAGGGGAUGCGACUUUGCCAGCCAUUUAGACCACUGCUUUCUAGCAGUGUGCUGAAGUGGAAAGUUGUCAACCUAGUUCUGCAUGCAACAGAAGGCUUGCAACAUCCAGAGGCAUUUCCAGGAAAUUUCUUGAGUAAAAUGCUGCAGAAUUUGCUCAAUUCGGUGUUUGACAAAUGGAAACAGCUCUGUGUUUUGAGGAAGUUGCUCUUGGCUGAUUUCAAUCAGGUAGGGGGUAGGGGGUAAAGUGUAUGACAUAAUUAAAUCAAUAUAUGUAAAAAACAAGUGCGUAAUGAAACUUGGCAAAAAAAGAACUGAUUUCUUCACGCAGGGAUGUGGGGUGAGGUAUGGCUGCAGUUCAAGUCCAACAUUGUUCAAUACUUAUAUUGAUGAAUUAGCUGUGUUACUGGAACAAUCUUCAGCUCCUGGCCUGACCCUAAACAACACAGACGUUAAAUUCUUGCAGAUGACCUGGUCCUGCUGUCACUCACUGAACAAGGAUUACAGCAGAACCUGGAUCUGCUAGAACAAGACUGUUAGAACUGGGCACUGACAGUAAAUUUGGAAAAAAAAACAAAGAUUAUGAUCUUCCAAAAAAAGCCCAGAUCUCAGGAAAACAGAUACCUCUUUACUCUAGGAGACACCGUCCUAGGAAUCGUAGUUUAGACACACACUAAACUACGAUUACCUAGGACUAAAAAUCAGUGCGUCAGGGAGCUUUGGCCUAGCAGUGAAUGCAUUAAAAGAAAAAGCCUGCAGGGCUUUUUAUGUGAUUAAAAGGAGAUUCCAUAAAACAAAUAUUCCUAUUAGAAUCUGGUUAAAAAUCUUUGACUGUGUCAUCCAGCCUAUCAUGCUGUAUGGAAGCGAAAUAUGGGGUCCACUCAGUCAGCAAGACUACACCAAGUGGGAGAAACAUCCAGCUGAAACCCUGCAUGCAGAAUUCUGUAAAAACAUAUUGCAAGUACAUAGCAAUGCCCCUAACAAUGCAUGCAGGGCUGAAUUAGGCAGAUUUCCGACUCUCAUUCAAAUUCAAAAAAGGGCAUUAAAUUUUAUUGAACAUCUAAAAAUGAGUCCAACAGACUCCUUACAAUUCUUGGCACUCCAAACCCAAGAGCUCAGCCCAGGAAAGUAUACCCUCAGUCAGCUGGUUCUGAACCUCUCUAGACUAACAUUAACACAUACUAAUGCAAACCAGCUUCAGACCAGCACUGCUUCACAACAGCCAAUUAGAGUCAACCAAAUUAUAAAACACAUCAAAAACUCCUAUCUGGACCAUUGGAACAAAGAAACACAAUCCCAAAAUAAACUGAAUUGUUAUCGGGCCCUAAAUAGAAAAUACACACUGGCAGAGUAUCUCUUCUCUGUCAGAGAUACAAAGCAGAGACGGAUCCUGACAGGCUCAGUGACCACAUGCUUGCAAUUGAAAUAGGCAGAUACAAAAACUCAUGGGUACCAAAAGAAGAGUGAAUAUGCGGUCACUGCAAAACAAGGGAAGUGGAAACAGAGAUACACUUCCUCCUUACUUGCACAACAUAUUUACAAAUUAGUAUAUUAGUAAUAUUUACAAUUAUUUACAAAAAAAUAUUUCCAAAAAUUAUCCCAAAUUAUAAAUAAUUUUAAUUUCAAAUCAAAAGAAGAAAAAUGUGCAUUUCUUUUAGGGGAAGGAUCAACAGCCCCAAUUGCGGCACAGUUCAUUUCAGCCUGUCAUAACCUGAGGGACAGUGAGUGACCACCCACCCCAUAUAAACAUUGUACAUAUUUUUUUAUUUACAUCUGUUGCUGUCAAUGCUGAUAUUUGUAUAUAUUGUUGCAUUUAUCAUUAUUAUUUUAAUAUUAUUAUUAUUUUACAUUAUAUAUGUAUGCUUUGGAAAUAAUUACAUUUGUAUUUCAUGCCAAUAAAGCAACUUAAAUUGAAUUGAAAAUUGAAAAUUGAGAGAGAGAGAGAGAGAGAGAGAGAGACUGAGUGUGUGCUGGUGCCUGAACAAACAUGCAUAUAAAAAAUACAUUUGCUGUGAUCAUGAAGUGAAUAAUGGAAUAAAUACUACUGUGUUGGAUUAAGAUAAUUAAAUUAAUGUUUUCCAUUCAUGUAA